GACGUCGAUAUUCGACGUAAUAAACACGAUCAACUUUGGUGUUUAUGACGUCAAUAUUCGACUUCAUAAACGCGAUCAACUUUGGUGUUUAUGAGGUCGAUAUUCGACGUCAUAAACACGAUCAACUUUGGUAUUUAUGACGUCGAUAUUCGACGUCAUAAACACGAUCAACUUUGGUGUUUAUGACGUCGAUAUUCGACGUAAUAAACACGAUCAAGUUUGGUGUUUAUGACGUCGAUAUUCGGCGUC
rnacentral:miRNA from 1 species